rnacentral:rRNA from 1 species
UACGGAGGGUGCAAGCGUUAUCCGGAUUCACUGGGUUUAAAGGGUGCGUAGGUGGGCAGGUAAGUCAGUGGUGAAAUCUUUGGGCUUAACCCGAAAACUGCCAUUGAUACUAUUUGUCUUGAAUAUUGUGGAGGUCAGCGGAAUAUGUCAUGUAGCGGUGAAAUGCUUAGAUAUGACAUAGAACACCAAUAGCGAAGGCAGCUUACUACGCAGUUAUUGACACUGAGGCUCGAAAGCGUGGGGAUCAAACAGG